UACACUCCUGCGGGAGGCAGCAGUAGGGAAUCUUCCACAAUGGGUGCAAACCUGAUGGAGCAAUGCCGCGUGAGUGAAGAAGGUCUUCGGAUCGUAAAGCUCUGUUGUUAGAGAAGAACACGUGCUAGGUAACUACUAGCGCCUUGACGGUAUCUAACCAGAAAGUCACGGCUAACUACGUGCCAGCAGCCGCGGUAAUACGUAGGUGACAAGCGUUGUCCGGAUUUAUUGGGCGUAAAGGGAGCGCAGGCGGUCUGUUUAGUCUAAUGUGAAAGCCCACGGCUUAACCGUGGAACGGCAUUGGAAACUGACAGACUUGAAUGUAGAAGAGGAAAAUGGAAUUCCAAGUGUAGCGGUGGAAUGCGUAGAUAUUUGGAGGAACACCAGUGGCGAAGGCGAUUUUCUGGUCUAACAUUGACGCUGAGGCUCGAAAGCGUGGGGAGCGAACAGGAUUAGAUACCCGUGUAGUCCCAU
rnacentral:rRNA from 1 species